UGAAACCCAAUUUUCAUAGUUUCUCACCUGCAAGGCUACAACUUGGGAUUGAGUAUUAAGGUUCAGAGUUUUUUCUAUUUAAAAUUUGUUUGUAGAUCUGAAGUAUGAAAUUUGAAAACUAAAUAAGCCCCUGUUUGAUGGGAUGCCGCGGCGAGCUUAUGAUCAAUUGGUGGGGCGAUUGGCAACGGUGCAGACUGGGGAGGUAAAGAUUCAAGGUUUAAGGAUCGAAAAGUUCAAGAAGCAAGGCCAUUUUCUUCAAUCAAGGAAACAAUAAGUGUAUUGAAUAUUUUGGGUGAAUUAAGGUACUUUCUUUAGGUAUUUUCUUAUGAAAUUUUGUGUGAAUAUUCCUUUGUAUUUUAGGAACAAGAAGAAGUAAGAAUCAUCCCUUGGGAAGAAGGAGAAGUCAAGCUAUUACUGUUGGAAGUGAAGACUCUUGUGCAGGAAAUAGCAAGCUAAGGUAGGCAGACGAAAAGCUGUAGUGGAGUCAUGUCUCAACAAUCAUAGCGGACCCAAGCUUGAACAUGAUCAUAUUGUGCAACUUUAAUUCUGUCUUUAUGAAGAAUGUUUGAAUGUACAUUAUAAUAUUAUUUUGGGCCUAUAAUUAGUAAACUAUAUUUUGUGUGA